UAGCAUAUCAAUAAGCGGAGGAAAAGAAACCAACAGGGAUUGCCUCAGUAACGGCGAGUGAAGCGGCAACAGCUCAAAUUUGAAAUCUGGCGCCCCCCGGCGUCCGAGUUGUAAUUUGUAGAGGAUGCUAUUGGGUUGCCACCGGUCUAAGUUCCUUGGAACAGGACGUCACAGAGGGUGAGAAUCCCGUACGUGACCGGCCAGGCGCUCUCUGUAUAGCUCCUUCGACGAGUCGGGUUGUUUGGGAAUGCAGCCCUAAAUGGGAGGUAAAUUUCUUCUAAAGCUAAAUACCGGCCAGAGACCGAUAGCGCACAAGUAGAGUGAUCGAAAGAUGAAAAGCACUUUGGAAAGAGAGUUAAAAAGCACGUGAAAUUGUUGAAAGGGAAGCGCUUGCAAUCAGUCUCGACGGCGGCUGUUCGGCCUCUCUUCUGAGUGGUUUAUUCAGUCGCCGCCGGGCCAGCAUCAGUUUCGGCGGCCGGACAAAGGCGCGGGGAAUGUAGCUCCCUCGGGAGUGUUAUAGCCCCGCGCGCAAUACGGCCCGCCGGGACUGAGGUCCGCGCUUCGGCUAGGAUGCUGGCGAAAUGGUUGUAAGCGGCCCGUCUUGAAACACGGACCAAGGAGUCUAACAUCUACGCGAGUGUUUGGGUGUCAAACCCGUGCGCGCAAUGAAAGUGAACGGAGGUGGGAACCGCAAGGUGCACCAUCGACCGAUCCUGAUGUCUUCGGAUGGAUUUGAGUAAGAGCGUAGCUGUUGGGACCCGAAAGAUGGUGAACUAUGCCUGAAUAGGGUGAAGCCAGAGGAAACUCUGGUGGAGGCUCGCAGCGGUUCUGACGUGCAAAUCGAUCGUCAAAUUUGGGUAUAGGGGCGAAAGACUAAUCGAACCAUCUAGUAGCUGGUUCCUGCGA
rnacentral:rRNA from 1 species